rnacentral:lncRNA from 1 species
GCGUUCCGGCCGGAAGACUUCCGGUUCUUUCCAGUACCCGUCAUCCAUGAGAACAGCAUCCAGAUUCAACAUGACAAUACUUCCCUAAUCAUUUUAGAAAUUGCCUUGAAGCUUGGUUUCUUUGACGGCGAAAUGGGGGACAACGAACGGCGCAAUAGUGCUACACCUCUGUGCUUCCAUCAAAACAGCUUCAGUGUAAGAUUUGUCACAUGCAAUUCCACAUAGGUAACGAGGGUUUCGUGCAAGUGUAUGUGUAUGUAUCCUGUUUCGAGAACAGGAAAAAUUACGCAAAAGCCGGACUAGAAGAGUUGGACUUUGGUCCUUGUCACGCGUAAAUGAAAGAAUGAAGCUGCGCAAUCCGAAUAGUUCGCAAUCCGAUUUAAUACGACCUACUGUAUUACGUGUUGGUUUGUAAAUUAAAUUUCUCUCGAGUCGGGGGACCACCACUGCUUUAAUACCACGAAACGAGGGACCACCACUGCUUUAAUACCACGGGCAAACCCAUCACAGGGUGUAAACUCAGAAGUUCUUUUCUGCAGAUUUAAAUCGAAAAUUUUUUAUCAAAGCAGCCGUGAAGAGAAAAAAGUUUCGUGUUCUUGGCGGAAUACUUCCGGUUCUUUCCAGUAGGACUCGGCAUCUAGGAAGACGGCAUCCCGAUUUAACAUGAUAACACAUCCCUUAUUAUUGGAUGAAGUGCCAUGAAGCUUCGUUUCUUUGACGGCGUAAGGGGGCAACAAACGGUGCAGUAAAGUUGUAGGAACGUUGGACUUUCAUCAAAACAGCUUCCACACAAGGUAAGCUAAACUUAUAGGUGUCAAGUUUUGGUACAAUUUUAAGUCAAUAAAAUCACUAGCUUCAACUACUUCAUCCAUGGAGUGAUUUGUGAGUUGAUUAUCAUUGAUAUUAUUCUAUUGACAAUUGUAACUU